AACAGGAUGGAGAAAAAUAUUCACCAUGAAUCAAAAAUUUAAAAAAGACAGGACAUUUUUCAUGUAAAUGUAUGAUAUAAAUACAACAAGAAAACAGUAAACAAUUAAAUGGAAUGUCAACGACCAGUAAUUUUGAAAGCAGAAUGAUUUUGAAAAUAGAAAAAAAUGUAUAGGACUAGAUUACAUUAAAAUGCCUUAAUAAAUGGUAAGUUAUUCAAAAGUGUCUGUUUAGCAUGUUUAGGGAAAAACAGUAGGUUAUUUACAAUGUACUAUCAAUCCCACAAAUAUGAAACAAAAACAUAAUAGACAUUGUAUGCAAACUAUUACAGUCAAACAUGAAAGUUGUAUAAAGAUAUAUAGGUCAAAGAAUCACACACAGACUUUAAAGCCAAGAACUUUUAACACUUUAAAGAUUUUUAAUUCUGUUAUCCAUGCUGUAUAAAUGUCAAGAAUCUAAGAUACAUUUGUAGUUUCAUUUUGAUUUAAAACCUAAUUUCAAGAAUGAAGGGAACAGUAAUUUAAAUUUAAUUUAUUUUAAAAGAACUAUAUAAGGGAAUUAACUCUCACAUGAUGUGCAUCUUAUCCAUGCAAAUGAAUUAAGCAUUUUAAUAAAUCCAAAUAUUGUUUUUAGAUAAGAGAAUGAUUUGUCACAAUGUGCAGAUGGGGUCAUAGAUGGAAAAAACACAAUGAAAUACAAAUAUACAUGAAUUAUUAUUAUAAUUAUCAUGCAUUCUUCAUAAAGUUUUAACUGAGUUAACAAACUUAAUUUAAAAACAAAAUAUUUUCUCAUUUCAGUACACAACACAUCCUGUUAAAAGAAUAAUUUCUCUGGAGAUAGAA
rnacentral:lncRNA from 1 species